UACGGAGGGUGCAAGCGUUAAUCGGAAUUACUGGGUUUAAAGGGUGCGUAGGUGGAAUGACAAGUCAGUGGUGAAAACCUGCAGCUUAACUGUAGAACUGCCAUUGAUACUGUUAUUCUUGAGUACAUUUGAUGUGAGUGGAAUGUGUCGUGUAGCGGUGAAAUGCUUAGAUAUGACACAGAACACCAAUUGCGAAGGCAGCUCACAAAACUGUAACUGACACUGAGGCACGAAAGCGUGGGGAUCAAACAGG
rnacentral:rRNA from 1 species